ACAUGCAGUCGAGGGGCAUCACAAGGGUAUGCUUACUCUGAGUGGCGACCGGCGCACGGGCGAUUAUAGGGUAUGCAACCUACCUUCCGCAGGGGGAUAGCCUUCCUAUAAGGAGAUUAAUACCGCAUGAAACAGGGGCCCCGCAUGGGGAUAUUUGUUAAAGAUUUAUCGGAGGAAGAUGGGCAUGCUUUCCAUUAUCUAGUUGGGGGGGUAACGGCCCACCACGGCAACGAUGGAUAGGGAAACUGAGAGGUUUAUCCCCCACACUGGGACUGAGACACGACCCAUACUCCUACGGGAGGCAGCAAUGAGGAAUAUUGGUCAAUGGGCGGGAGCCUGACCCACCCAAGGCGCGUGGAGGACGACGGUUCUAUGGAUUGGAAACUCCUUUUGCACUGAGGUAAAACGCGAGACGUGUCCCACCGUGCACGUACAGUGCGGAUAAGCAUCGUCUAAGUCCGUGCCAGCAGCCGCGGUAAUACUGAGGAUGCGAGCGUUAUCCGGAUUUAUUGGGUUUAAAGGGUGCGGAUGGGGCCCCCUAAGUCGACAGAAAAAUUUCUGCGCUCAACGCAGUCGUGGCGACUGAACUGGGUGGCUUGAGUCUAGAUGAAGUGGGCGGAAUUUGUAGUGUAGCGGUGAAAUGCUUAGAUAUUACAAAGCAAUGCGAAUGGCCACGCAGCUCACUAAACUGUCCCUGACGCUGAAGCACGAAAGCGUGGGAAUUCGAACAGGUUACCUUCCCUGGAAGUCCCCAAACAAAAGAUGAUCAUUCUGUGGUUGCCAAAUACAGUUUGCGGCAAACCAAAACGGUUUACGAUUC
rnacentral:rRNA from 1 species